rnacentral:rRNA from 1 species
AGCGAACGCUGGCGGCAGGCCUAACACAUGCAAGUCGAACGAACCCUUCGGGGUUAGUGGCGGACGGGUGAGUAACACGUGGGAACGUGCCUUUAGGUUCGGAAUAACUCAGGGAAACUUGUGCUAAUACCGAAUGUGCCCUUCGGGGGAAAGAUUUAUCGCCUUUAGAGCGGCCCGCGUCUGAUUAGCUAGUUGGUGAGGUAAUGGCUCACCAAGGCUACGAUCAGUAGCUGGUCUGAAUGGAUGACCAGCAACAUUGGGACUGAGACACGGCCCAACAUCCUACGGGAGGCAGCAGUGGGGAAUCUUGCGCAAUGGGCGAAAGCCUGAAGCCGCCAUGCCGCGUGGAUUAUGAAGGUCUUAGGAUUGUAAAAUCCUUUCACCGGUGAAGAUAAUGACUGUAGCCGGAGAAGAAGCCCCGGCUAACUUCGUGCCAGCCGCCGCCGUAACAC